CGCUAGGACGAACGCUGGCGGCAUGCCUAACACAUGCAAGUCGAACGGGGGGUAGCAAUACCCUAGUGGCGAACGGGUGAGUAACACGUGAGCAACCUGCCCUUUACAACGGGAUACCACUAAGAAAUUAGUGCUAAUACGGUAUAUGACCACACCGAGGCAUCUCGGAGGGGUGAAAGCGAAAGCGGUAAAGGAUGGGCUCGCGUCCAAUUAGCUAGUUGGUGAGAUAACAGCCCACCAAGGCGACGAUUGGUAGCCGACUUGAGAGAGUGAUCGGCCACACUGGAACUGAGACACGGUCCAGACUCCUACGGGAGGCAGCAGGUGGGGAAUAUUGGGCAAUGGAGGAAACUCUUACCCAAGCAAUGCCGCGUGAGUGAAUGAAGGUCUUCGGAUUGUAAAGCUCUUUGAUCGGGGACGAAUAAAUGACGGUACCCGAGGAACAAGCCCCGGCUAACUAUGUGCCAGCCGCCGC
rnacentral:rRNA from 1 species